rnacentral:rRNA from 1 species
GUGGGGAAUCUUGCGCAAUGGGCGAAAGCCUGACGCAGCCAUGCCGCGUGAAUGAUGAAGGUCUUAGGAUUGUAAAAUUCUUUCACCGGGGACGAUAAUGACGGUACCCGGAGAAGAAGCCCCGGCUAACUUCGUGCCAGCAGCCGCGGUAAUACGAAGGGGGCUAGCGUUGCUCGGAAUUACUGGGCGUAAAGGGCGCGUAGGCGGACAGUUUAGUCAGAGGUGAAAGCCCAGGGCUCAACCUUGGAAUUGCCUUUGAUACUGGCUGUCUUGAGUACGGGAGAGGUGAGUGGAACUCCGAGUGUAGAGGUGAAAUUCGUAGAUAUUCGGAAGAACACCAGUGGCGAAGGCGACUCACUGGCCCGUUACUGACGCUGAGGCGCGAAAGCGUGGGAGCAAACAGGAUUAGAUACCCUGGUAGUCC